GUGCUUGUUUUGGCAGCACAUAUACUAAAAUUGGAAUGAUAUGGAAAAUAUUAGCAUGACCCCUGCACAAGGAUGGGGGGAAAAUUGUCUGAAAUGUUGCUGGCCCUA
rnacentral:snRNA from 1 species